AUGAGCAGUGCGAUGACAGCCCAAGGAUGGCAGCAGGAGAUGCAGCACAGCCCUCUCCAGCAGCAAGGGGACAGGCAGCGGUACUGCAGCUCCUCUGGCAGCUUUGCAGCUACGUCAGGAAGUAGAAGAUGUGGAUUUGAAAGAAGAACUCAGUUACUGGGACAUUCCUCUAUUCUUCCCCUAGCUGUCCCCCUGCCUCACUGCAGAUCCACCUUGCAUUCCUGUAGGUUUCCCUUCCAUCCCCCUGGCUGCCUCUUGCUUUCCCCAAGACAUGGUAUUUGUAUGGGGACUGCUGAAUCAUGGCCCGAACCUCUGAUUGAUCACCUGAGGCAAGCAAUGAGUCAGCCAUGGGAGCACAGGAGUAUGGGAGCAUUUGGAGAAGAUAUGGGGAUGUGGGCCACAGGCUGCAGGAGCAGAGUGCUGCGCAGGAGAAGGCAACGUGUGAGCUCUUUGCCUUCCUUGUAUUGAGGGCCCUAGACCUGAACAUAGUAUUCCAGAUGGGGAGUAUGCGCCGCCUCAGCUUCUACAGGGCUCCACAGCACAGACACUUUUUCUUUGCUGCAGUCUUCACGGACGUACCACUGAGCAGAAGAGAUCUGUGCAGACACAGCAGCAGAUGUUUGUGUGCAGAGGGACACUGUUCAUCUCAUUU
rnacentral:lncRNA from 1 species